UGGAUAGUGGAGUGUUUCCCAUGUGGUAUUGGUGUGCUGGAUAUCCCUUCACUGGUAGCCUGGUUACACACUCCCAGGUCUUUCUCUGCCUCUGUGGUGGAUAGUGGAGUGUUUCCCAUGUGGUAUUGGUGUGCUGGAUAUCCCUUCACUGGUAGCCUGGUAACAUACACUCCCAGGUCUUUCUCUGCCUCUGUGGUGGAUAGUGGAGUGUUUCCCAUGUGGUAUUGGUGUGCUGGAUAUCCCCUCACUGGUAGCCUGGUAACAUACACUCCCAGGUCUUUCUCUGCCUCUGUGGUGGAUAGUGGAGUGUUUCCCAUGUGGUAUUGGUGUGCUGGAUAUCCCUUCACUGGUAGCCUGGUAACAUACACUCCCAGGUCUUUCUCUGCCUCUGUGGUGGAUAGUGGAGUGUUUCCCAUGUGGUAUUGGUGUGCUGGAUAUCCCUUCACUGGUAGCCUGGUAACAUACACUCCCAGGUCUUUCUCUGCCUCUGUGGUGGAUAGUGGAGUGUUUCCCAUGUGGUAUUGGUGUGCUGGAUAUCCCUUCACUGGUAGCCUGGUAACAUACACUCCCAGGUCUUUCUCUGCCUCUGUGGUGGAUAGUGGAGUGUUUCCCAUGUGGUAUUGGUGUGCUGGAUAUCCCUUCACUGGUAGCCUG